rnacentral:rRNA from 1 species
UACGUAGGGUGCAAGCGUUGUCCGGAAUUAUUGGGCGUAAAGGGCUCGUAGGCGGUCUGUCGCGUCGGGAGUGAAAACUCGGGGCUUAACCCCGAGCCUGCUUCCGAUACGGGCAGACUAGAGGUAUGCAGGGGAGAAUGGAAUUCCUGGUGUAGCGGUGAAAUGCGCAGAUAUCAGGAGGAACACCGGUGGCGAAGGCGGGUCUCUGGGCAGUUACUGACGCUGAGGAGCGAAAGCGGGUGGGAGAACAGG